rnacentral:rRNA from 1 species
AGAACGAACGCUGGCGGCAUGCCUAACACAUGCAAGUCGAACGGGACCUUCGGGUCUAGUGGCGCACGGGUGCGUAACGCGUGGGGAUCUGCCCUUAGGUACGGAAUAACUCAGGGAAACUUGAGCUAAUACCGUAUAAUGACUUCGGUCCAAAGAUUUAUCGCCUAGGGAUGAACCCGCGUAGGAUUAGCUUGUUGGUGAGGUAAAGGCUCACCAAGGCGACGAUCCUUAGCUGGUCUGAGAGGAUGAUCAGCCACACUGGGACUGAGACACGGCCCAGACUCCUACGGGAGGCAGCAGUGGGGAAUAUUGGACAAUGGGCGCAAGCCUGAUCCAGCAAUGCCGCGUGUGUGAAGAAGGUCUUCGGAUUGUAAAGCACUUUCGACGGGGACGAUGAUGACGGUACCCGUAGAAGAAGCCCCGGCUAACUUCGUGCCAGCAGCCGC